UAACUAUUAGUUUAAAUUAAAACAUUAAUUUUGUAAAUUAAAUAUAUAUAUAUAUUAUAUAGUUAU
rnacentral:tRNA from 1 species